ensembl:lncRNA
UCUAGAUACUGUAUGUUACCCAGGCUAUGUCUAGAUACUGUAUGUUACCCAGGCUGUGUCUAGAUGUUGUAUAUUACCCAGGCUAUGUCUAGAUACUGUAUGUUACCCAGGCUAUGUCUAGAUACUGUAUGUUACCCAGGCUAUGUCUAGAUGUUGUAUAUUACCCAGGCUGUGUCUAGAUGUUGUAUAUUACCCAGGCUAUGUCUAGAUGUUGUAUGUUACCCAAGCUAUGUCUAGAUGUUGUAUGUUACCCAGGCUAUGUCUAGAUAAUGUAUGCUACGUUUAUCUACUAUCCUGGCUGUCCAUCACAGAGUUCUGUGUAUGUCUGUGUAUUGCCCUAGGUCAUAUCUGUUGCUGGUAGAGCCCAGCGCUGAUCACUCUGCUUUUAAUUAACCAUAUUAACAUGAACACAUUAUCUUUCUCUCUGCUUUUAAUUAACCAUAUUAACAUAAACACUUUAUCUUCCUCUCUCUCUCUCACUCCGUUGCCCUCUCUAUACUCUCUCUCACCCCUCCCUUUUUGUAUUUACCCCUGCAUCCCUCUCCCUGUCUUCCUACAAUAGUGCUGUUAGAUGGCCUCAGGCUAUCCCGACCAGCUGCAUUAAACCUGGACUAAUCAACCAAAUUCUCUCUCUUUCUCUCUCUCUCUCACACACACACACACACACACAGAGAGAGGAUGUAGAGAGGAUUAACAGGGUUGGAACUAGGUCUAAACACAUUCAUGGUGGGUGUUCUGAAUGUGGUGGCUUUCUUGCCUACAGGGAUCUAGAGUUCUAAUGAGCAGUGUAUUUGGUAAGUGCAUGAAGUAGCCAGCCAGUAGAAAAAGCAGACAAGCAAGUAGGAAAAGUAGCCAACCAAGUAGGAAAAGUUGCCAGCCAAGUAGGAGAAGUAGCCAGCCAGGGAAUUAUGUGCUGAGUGCAUGAACGAGCACUGUCUUGGUGGCCUCUUUUGCAGUCUAAUGCCUUGAUUCUAUCCCAAAUACACAGCUAAAAUGUUGAAUAAUUUAACGAGAAGUGGUACUGAGAAGAAAAUAAUCAUAAAAAAUGAAAAUAGAGACAAGAUAGUAAUUACUAACAAUUGAAUACCACGAAAUUGGGGAGAAAAGAGAGUAAAAUUAUUUGUAAAAAUGUUUAAAAAAUUAAAAAAAUUAAUAUAUGAAUUCAGUUUUUUAGAUGUUUUAAUAUCAUCUAGGCCUAUAUGAUCAAUAAGUAUGAGAACCUUUGAGUUUGGCCUGUCA